rnacentral:lncRNA from 1 species
CUUCACCUGGAGACGGUUUAACCACACACGCCACCAGGGCCUGCCUGAGUCAUACAACUUCAAAUUCGUCACCAUGAGGCCGAUCCUGUAAAAUCAGCACUGAUAUUCCAAAAUGAGAUUUAUUUUUUUUUUUGAUGGAAACUUUCAUUCCUGUGUGUAAUAAAUCCAGCUGGAUGUACCCAUCCCUGUGCCUUGCCUGCCUCCCCCUGUCCUGCCUGCUGGGUGCUUUGCACAGAGGUGGGCUGCCUCUGCGCAGGGUGGUCCUUUGCCUAGGAUUGAUGGGAAGUGGGCAUGGCACUGCUUUUUGGUGAUCUGAGCAAUCAUCACAGCUACUCCCAGGGGAUGAGUGAACGCAGUGUGACCAGCUGAAGUGAUCUGUCUCUAGGCACGGGACCUGGCUUCAGGACUGGGCCAAACCAAGCAGCUUUGUCUCUGUGCUGGCUUGAUGUUUGCCUCUUGUCUGAGCAGUGCCUGUCAUCUGAUGCCAUUUCUAGUGAAGAGACACAGCCAUGUUCUCCACAGCAGGCAACUGAACAGUGAAGAGGUCUCACUCAUCAUCUCAUCUCCCUCUGCAGAGCUUAUUGUCCAAGGGGAAAAAAAUCAAAAGGUAUGUGCCUCAGCAAAAGGUUUGUUGCAAAAACUGUCCUGUUUUUUUCACACCCUCCACAUGCAUUUUUUUCUUUAAUGUCCUGUGUGUUUUGCCUUUUAAACUUAAGGUUUUCAGGCUUGUAGGGAGGCAGGCAGAGUUCUUUUUUUUGUCUGAUUUGGGGAUGGCAUGGAAAGGCGGUGGUGACAAAUUCAUCCCUUGCACUAAUGUAAAGAAAGCAACUUGCUGUUGAGGCAAUAGAGACCAUCUCCAGAGACCUUGUCUCCUCCCAGCACUGUCUUCAGGAGUGUUGUAUCAAAUGUGAGCUCUUGCAUCCUUUGCCAUCCCCCUUUCCUGAAAUCCAGCAACAGCCUCACCCCGACUCAUGUAGCCCAGUCCCACCCUUAAUGACCUCAGCUCCCACAGGGGGACAAGAUCUGUCAGCAGAGCGCUCUGCUUGAAGCUGGAGAUGGCCACCAAUUAGCCCGUAUGUGGGUGUCCAGGCAGCAUUGCAUGGAGCUCCCAGGGUAGUAACGGAGUGUGUUUCUGUGCCAGUGACCUGGUGCUGUGCUGCUGGCUCUGAUGAUUUCUUGGCCCCUCGCUAUUUUACAGUUUCCAUGCUGUUACACAACAGCAUCACCUGUGGUCUGUGCAGUUUGUAGUAUGUAUGUCCUGCUCUGCGGGUGUAGCACCCCCUUCCAGAUGUACCACUGAGUGCAUGGCAAGGCUGCUCUGCAGCUAAACAAGGGCCCUUGAUGUUCACACGUACUUCCUUUUCUGCCUGCACAAACUGCAAUUACAGCAGUGCUGGAGCAGAGUGGUUAUGCUACAUUUUUAUGAUAAAUGCAAUGGUCAAAACUAUGUGCAAGAUGUAGACUCUUACUCUAAACAGGCCAUUUGAGAAACUCUCUGCACUUUCAAGUGUGAUUGUAUUCAGCCAUCACUUAUGUGAGUCCAUACUCUUCUGGUCAGUGACUUGAAACAAGUUUUAAUAAGUGCUGGGAAACUACUUAUUACCAUCACCCGUUGAUUAUGUGACCCUUGAAGUGUGGGCUCAGCACUAACUCAAGGCAGGCAUGUCUGUCUGUCUCCCAGGUACUCUGUCUGAGUUCUCUGCCAUUCAGCAGCAGUGCUGUGUUGGGCCCAAGAGCCAGCUUUUAUCAUAGUGCCCGUGGCUAAAGCAGGGUGUUGUUUCUAAAGCAUACGACCCAGGGUUUGAUGCUAUCCUGGCUUCUACCCAUGCCCUCUCCCCGCCUCUUGCUCCCCUUUUGUCAGAGGUGAAAGCCAGCCCUUUGGAGGGAAAGGGGAGCACCACCAGCAGCCCUGGGUAACUACUGGGGGUAGGUUACUGGAUUGCUCAGGACACUCAGCCUCUCUGCUUUGCAAGGGUCUAGAAGGUGACUUCCUGGACCUCACAGCACGGCUUUAAUUUUUGCUCCUUUGAGAUGGCUGGGAGAGCAGCAUCACGCACCUGACUUUCUGGGAAGGAGCUGGAGCUGCUCCAUGUUCCUUGAUCAAGGUAGCAACAAGCCUGCAACGCUGAUGUGCCUGCACUGCCCCCUCCUCCAGGUGGCAGCAUGGCUGAAGAGGAUGAGCACACGUGGCACUUCAGUCUCCUGAGAGGUCUGGAACUAAGCACAGAUGACUCAAAACGUUAAAAACCCAGUAGUUUAUUUCAAAGUAUAAAUUUCAGGCUUGUCAGACAAAACCCCACUACAGGUACCACACACCCACGCGCACACAUACACACACACACACAACUCUACAUUACAUACAAAAUGGGGGAGUGCUUGGCAACUGCCCAGUUUAAAUUGGACAUUAAAGCAGUCCUACAUUUUUUGUAUUUACAAGUCCCGCUGUAAAACAAAACAAGAAAUCAGAUUGAGUUGCUUGCAAAGACUUUUGCAUGUUUGACUCAAUAAGUCAAUAACUUACUACAGCUGAACAGGCCUCCCCAAACAGCUACUACCCAGUUACCUUAUUUACAGCUAUACCCCAUUAAAUUAAGACAGCACUUCAAAUAUAUAUAUGUAUAAUAUAUUAAAUUAAAAAAAAGCUCAGCCUGCACACUGACAAUGAGAAAUAAAGAGACGUUUUAAUGGGUAUGUAGAAGGUAU